GGCCGGUGAUGUGAUUUUAUAUUUGCUACUCUUGAUUGGAUUCUUUAUGAAUCCUACCUGAUGAUUCCUAUCCACCAAGAUCUCUGAGGCC